CCUACGGGAGGCUGCAGUGGGGAAUAUUGCACAAUGGGCGCAAGCCUGAUGCAGCCAUGCCGCGUGUGUGAAGAAGGCCUUCGGGUUGUAAAGCACUUUCAGCGGGGAGGAAGGCGUUAAGGUUAAUAACCUUGGCGAUUGACGUUACCCGCAGAAGAAGCACCGGCUAACUCCGUGCCAGCAGCCGCGGUAAUACGGAGGGUGCAAGCGUUAAUCGGAAUUACUGGGCGUAAAGCGCACGCAGGCGGUCUGUCAAGUCGGAUGUGAAAUCCCCGGGCUCAACCUGGGAACUGCAUUCGAAACUGGCAGGCUAGAGUCUUGUAGAGGGGGGUAGAAUUCCAGGUGUAGCGGUGAAAUGCGUAGAGAUCUGGAGGAAUGCCGGUGGCGAAGGCGGCCCCCUGGACAAAGACUGACGCUCAGGUGCGAAAGCGUGGGGAGCAAACAGGAUUAGAUACCCCGGUAGUC
rnacentral:rRNA from 1 species